AUUGGGCGUAAGAGAGUGCAGGCGGUUUUCUAAGUCUGAUGUGAAAGCCUUCGGCUUAACCGGAGAAGUGCAUCGGAAACUGGAUAACUUGAGUGCAGAAGAGGGUAGUGGAACUCCAUGUGUAGCGGUGGAAUGCGUAGAUAUAUGGAAGAACACCAGUGGCGAAGGCGGCUACCUGGUCUGCAACUGACGCUGAGACUCGAAAGCAUGGGUAGCGAACAGGAUUAGAUACCCUGGUAGUCCAUGCCGUAAACGAUGAGUGCUAGGUGUUGGAGGGUUUCCGCCCUUCAGUGCCGGAGCUAACGCAUUAAGCACUCCGCCUGGGGAGUACGACCGCAAGGUUGAAACUCAAAGGAAUUGACGGGGGCCCGCACAAGCGGUGGAGCAUGUGGUUUAAUUCGAAGCUACGCGAAGAACCUUACCAGGUCUUGACAUCUUGCGCCAACCCUAGAGAUAGGGCGUUUCCUUCGGGAACGCAAUGACAGGUGGUGCAUGGUCGUCGUCAGCUCGUGUCGUGAGAUGUUGGGUUAAGUCCCGCAACGAGCGCAACCCUUGUUACUAGUUGCCAGCAUUAAGUUGGGCACUCUAGUGAGACUGCCGGUGACAAACCGGAGGAAGGUGGGGACGACGUCAGAUCAUCAUGCCCCUUAUGACCUGGGCUACACACGUGCUACAAUGGACGGUACAACGAGUCGCGAACUCGCGAGGGCAAGCAAAUCUCUUAAAACCGUUCUCAGUUCGGACUGCAGGCUGCAACUCGCCUGCACGAAGUCGGAAUCGCUAGUAAUCGCCGGAUCAGCAUGCCCGCGGUGGAAUACGUUCCCGAGGCCUUGUACACGACCGGCCGUUCACACCAUUGAGAAGUUUUGUAACCAUCCCAAGGUCGGUAGAGGUAACCGAUUUUAGGAACCACACCCGACCUAAAGGUG
rnacentral:rRNA from 1 species